AUACCACUUGGCAGUUGUGGCUGGUCCCUCCUUUCUAAGAGAAGAAAUAUGUUUAAAUUAAUUAUUAUUUUAACUCUUCCCUUUGUUUUCUCAAAGGCUUUUUUGGGGGUUUAGCUCAGUUGGUUUAGAGCAUCGGCUUUGCAAGCCGGGGGUCAAGGGUUCGAGUCCCUUAACCUCCAUUUAUUUAUUGUUAAAUAGGUAUGCAGCCUUUUAAGAAAUGGCUUUUUUUUAUAUUGAGUGAAUGAAUUUUUCAUGGCUUUAAAAGAUGUGUUUUUAUGUUGUUUGUUGUCUUGAUGAAUUGCUUUUUAUGAAUUCCAAAACUUGAUUACAUGCAAAAAGUUUAUCUCUAAUUAUUUUAUUAAGGUUAUUAAGGACCUGAUCAUGAAUCAACCUAAUUGGAUUGGGAUCAGGAGGAGUUGAACCUCCGACCUCAGGUUUUU
rnacentral:tRNA from 1 species